GACGAACGCUGGCGGCGUGCUUAACACAUGCAAGUCGAACGAUGAAGUUCUUUCGGGAAUGGAUUAGUGGCGAACGGGUGAGAAACACGUGAGAAACCUGCCUUUCAUUUUGGGAUAACUCCGGGAAACCCGAGCUAAUACCGAAUACUCCGUCUCGGCGACAUCGCUGAGCCGGGAAAAAAUUUUGAUGAAAGAUGGUCUCGCGACCUAUCAGCUAGUUGGUGAGGUAAUGGCUCACCAAGGCGACGAC
rnacentral:rRNA from 1 species